rnacentral:rRNA from 1 species
GACGAACGCUGGCGGCGUGCUUAACACAUGCAAGUCGAACGGAAAGGCCUGCUUUCCCUUGUGGAUUGCGGGUACUCGAGUGGCGAACGGGUGAGUAACACGUGAGUGAUCUGCCCCCAACUUGGGUAUAAGCCCGGGAAACUGGGUCUAAUUCCCGAUAGGACUGCAGGGUGGUGCCUGUGGUGGGAAACGAUUUUCUAGUGGUUGGGGAUGAGCUCGCGGCCUAUCAGCUUGUUGGUGGGGUAAUGGCCUACCAAGGCGGCGACGGGUAGCCGGCCUGAGAGGGUGGACGGCCACAUUGGGACUGAGAUACGGCCCAGACUCCUACGGGAGGCAGCAGUGGGGAAUAUUGCACAAUGGGCGGAAGCCUGAUGCAGCGACGCCGCGUGGGGGAUGACGGCCUUCGGGUUGUAAACUCCUUUCGACCGCGAGGAAGCCACCUGGUUGGAAGGGUGGUGACGGUAGUGGUAGAAGAAGCACCGGCUAACUACGUG